AGUAAAGUCAGCUAAACAAGCUUUUGGGCCCAUACCUCAAACACGUUGGUUAGACCCUUCCUUUACUA
rnacentral:tRNA from 1 species